UACGGGGGGAGCAAGCGUUGUUCGGAUUUACUGGGCGUAAAGGGCGCGUAGGCGGCACCGCAAGUCGACUGUGAAAUCUCCGGGCUUAACCCGGAAAGGUCAGCCGAUACUGCGGGGCUAGAGUGCAGAAGGGGCAACUGGAAUUCUCGGUGUAGCGGUGAAAUGCGUAGAUAUCGAGAGGAACACCUGCGGCGAAGGCGGGUUGCUGGGCCGACACUGACGCUGAUGCGCGAAAGCCAGGGGAGCGAAACGGGAUUAGAACCUACCGAGUCAGAUCCAAGACCAGU
rnacentral:rRNA from 1 species